UGGCUACUGGACAGCCUUCAUCAGCGACUCAUGAUGCUCAUCUCUACAGCCCAGAGGACAUUUAAAGAACUAAAUAAAGAUAUAGAAGGCGGCCCCUUCUCUCAUCAGUAAGCCUUACCAUCUAAGGGACACUCUGGACAUCGGAAGAUUCCAAGUCGUCUCUUAUGGAAAAAUCUAGAACGUUAGAUUGAGGUCAGGAGCAGAAAGCCAGAAGUGGACAUUAGCCAGUUGGAGGAUUCAUCUGGCGACUCAGCAGGUUAGUGAAGAAAAAGUUAGAAGAAUAUUACCCUAAAUCACGGUCAGGUGAUAAGGGUCUGCAUUAUGACAGCUGGAACUGAAGUGAAUGAAAUAAAUGGCUCCUCUGAGGUGUGGACAGCAUUCCACACACAUUGGACAAAGACUGCUGAACCAGCCGAAAUCUACAGAUGAAGACUCCAUAAAAGUAACAAGCAAGGAAAAAUAAACUACAUGA
rnacentral:lncRNA from 1 species